rnacentral:rRNA from 1 species
UUGGAGGGCAAGUCUGGUGCCAGCAGCCGCGGUAAUUCCAGCUCCAAUAGCGUAUAUUGAAGUUGUUGCAGUUAAAAAGCUCGUAGUUGAAUUUCGGGGUCAAUAGGUUGGUCGUGCCAAUGGUAUGUACUGGCUUUAUUGAUUCCUACCUCUUGACGAACUGUGAUGCCAUUAAUUUGGUGUUGCAGGAAAUCAGGACUGUUACCUUGAAAAAAUUAGAGUGUCUAAAGCAGGCUUACGCUUGAAUACAUUAGCAUGGAAUAAUGAAAUAGGACGUUUGAACCUAUUUUGUUGGUUUCUAGAAUCGACGUAAUGAUUAAUAGGGAUAGUUGGGGGCAUUAGUAUUCAAUUGUCAGAGGUGAAAUUCUUGGAUUUAUUGAAGACUAACUACUGCGAAAGCAUUUGCCAAGGAUGUUUUCACUAAUCAAGAACGAAAGUUAGGGGAUCGAAGACGAUCAGAUACCGUCGUAGUCUUAACCAUAAACUAUGCCGACUAGGGAUCGGAUGAUGUUAAUUUUUUAAUGACUCAUUCGGCGCCUUACGGGAAACCAAAGUGUUUGGGUUC